rnacentral:siRNA from 1 species
AUUCAUGACGCUAUGUAUCCGU